rnacentral:rRNA from 1 species
GACGAACGCUGGCGGCGUGCCUAAUACAUGCAAGUCGAACGCUUCUUUCCUCCCGAGUGCUUGCACUCAAUUGGAAAGAGGAGUGGCGGACGGGUGAGUAACACGUGGGUAACCUACCCAUCAGAGGGGGAUAACACUUGGAAACAGGUGCUAAUACCGCAUAACAGUUUAUGCCGCAUGGCAUAAGAGUGAAAGGCGCUUUCGGGUGUCGCUGAUGGAUGGACCCGCGGUGCAUUAGCUAGUUGGUGAGGUAACGGCUCACCAAGGCCACGAUGCAUAGCCGACCUGAGAGGGUGAUCGGCCACACUGGGACUGAGACACGGCCCAGACUCCUACGGGAGGCAGCAGUAGGGAAUCUUCGGCAAUGGACGAAAGUCUGACCGAGCAACGCCGCGUGAGUGAAGAAGGUUUUCGGAUCGUAAAACUCUGUUGUUAGAGAAGAACAAGGACGUUAGUAACUGAACGUCCCCUGACGGUAUCUAACCAGAAAGCCCCGGCUAACUACGUG